GACAGAGGAUGCAAGCGUUAUCCGGAAUGAUUGGGCGUAAAGCGUCUGUAGGUGGCUUUUCAAGUCCGCCGUCAAAUCCCAGGGCUCAACCCUGGACAGGCGGUGGAAACUACCAAGCUGGAGUACGGUAGGGGCAGAGGGAAUUUCCGGUGGAGCGGUGAAAUGCGUAGAGAUCGGAAAGAACACCAAUGGCGAAAGCGGCUCUCUGGAACGGUACUGACGCUGAGACGCGAAAGCGUGGGGAGCGAACAGG
rnacentral:rRNA from 1 species